ACAAUCCAAAAGAAUAUUAACACACUGACUACCACUGCGCAAAUGCAGACAUUAAACAGCAAUUAAUAUCAGGUCAAAUACAUUAAAUAAUGUUGACACUAAAUUGCUCAGAUGAAAGUACACACCCUUUCCUGUAACAGUCAACUAGGAAAGUAAAAACUGAUCUGAUCUUCCCCAAGACAUGCAUACAUGUGCCUUCAUCUUCUUUAUUGCCAGUAUGGAACUGAGGGAUCAGAAACAGGGAGUAGACCUGUGAUUCCAAUGGUAUGAGGAAUUCCCGAGAGGAAACUCCAUCUACUAAAUGCAAGUUGAUACUUUCUCUACAAGUUAGAAUUGUCCAAGUUAAAUGAGCUGCCAAAGGCCACAUAUCUGAAAUGUCAAAGACAAGACUUGAACAAAAUUGAAUUUUUUUCGAAUUUGAGCAUCUUUUAGAGAGACCCCUCUGGAAGAGGGAUGUCAAAUUCCCUGUUCACGGUCUGCAAGCUGCCUGCUGCAAAACUUCUGAACUAGAUUAAAAUGUAUUGGAAAAUGUUAAAUAAAAUAAAGAUACAAAUGCCACAUAA